GUAGUUUGUGUUGUGUGUGUGUCUUUGUAUUUUGUUCAGACCACAGAAAAAGGUGUGAUUUUGUCUGUUGGAUGGAAGUUAACAUUCAUCCCUUUGUGUUUUAUAGGCGAAGUAAAAACAAAUAACUCCAGAAUUCCUGCUGCUUUCUUUGUGAGAAGACAUUCAACUGGAUCGGUGAAGAAAUGAAAACUUUAAAGUUGCGGUGUGGAGGAUUUAGUGACAUCCAGUGGAGCAUCCUGUUCUCACUCUGAAAUCGUCAAAUAACGACAUUUCUCAGUGGACGUCGGCGUCAGACACGAACGCACAGACAGGCACCCGUUGUGGCGUUGCUGUGUUGUGAUGCGAGGACUAGUGACUUCUGACGCUCUCCACUGGAAUCAAACCUGGUGACACUUAAUCAUCAGCCUGAAAAACUCUGCAAAUACACAAAGACUGUCACAAUAAUCAUUUGUUAUCAUGAAGUAUAAUGAAGCACUUUAUCCCAUUCAUUGCAUGUAUUUAUACUUUCUUUUUCUUUUUUUUUAAAAGCAUCAGCACUUUAAUAUCAAUUGUAUCCCUUUAAUUCUUCUUUCAGUCUCCCUCACUCUGCACUGAGCUCCUCUGCAGAUAAAAACACUUCUCUUUAGUGGUAUCUAAUCAUGCAAAAUGUUUGCACAUUUCUACCUACACCCUGAUACGGUGGUGAUGUUUGUUGGUUUGUUUGUUUUUGGUGCUCACAGCUUUGAAAAAUGACAUUUAAAACGAUCAACAGUAUGUUUACAUACACAAAAUAGUCAGUUUUUUGCCCUUAUUCCGCAAAAGACAAUAAUCUUAUUACGCUGUUUACAUAUCUAAUGAAACUGAAUAUUCCACUUACACUUCUGUUUACAUCAAGAUUAAUCCGUCAUCAAAAGAAAACAACAAAAAAACCUCAUGCACAGAAACCUUGCACAUUAAGUUCAGAUGAAAGUUAACAAGUCAGUGUUCAAACGGGGUUGACACAACGUGAGGUCAUAUUUGAUAUUAAACGUGCGACAGUUUUGGCUGAAAAAAGCACAACUGUGUGCAAAGGCCUUUAAUUGGAAUAUUAAAGCAGAAUAUUUAUAUAUAAAAUUCAAAAUAUUGUCAUAUUUAGAAUAAUAGGGGAAUACUGGUGUGCAUGUAAACAUUAACUCAUUUUUCCAAAAACAGUGUCCUGCUUACUCUGAAAAAUUCACACACCUUCACUGGAACUACUUUCUUUAACUGAGGAAAUGUUGACCUCAGUAAUCCAGUUAUUAUUGUGGAAAUAUUUGCUGCAAUUUAUAAUUUCUUUUUUUGGACAUUCAUUAAUUUAUUCAUUUAUUCAU